rnacentral:piRNA from 1 species
UGGGGAAAAUAAAAAUAAUUU